rnacentral:lncRNA from 1 species
AUGCUUGUCUCUUUCAUCUUACUUAAACAUUCCCAGAAGAAAAAAGAAAACAACAAAAAAGAGAAAACAGAACUCCACUUCUCCCUGUAUCUGUUUCCGUCUCUCUUCCCUUCCUUACAGACAGACUUCUUAAAACAAUGGACACCUGCCGUCUCAGUUUCUCAUCUCCCUGGUGCCCCUCCAGCCAGGCCUCCAUGGCUGUCACUCUGUCAUUCGGUCAUGUUGGUCGUGUCGCUUCUGUGUCCCUGCCACAGCCUGAUGCAGGCCACCCUCACCUCCUUCCUGAGCUCUGUGAUAGCCUCCCAACUUCUUUUCUUCUUUCUUUCUUUCUUUCUUUCUUUCUUUCUUUCUUUCUUCUCUCUCUCUCUCUUUUUCUUUCUCUCUUUCUUUUUCUCUCUUUCUUUCCCUCCCUCUUUCUUUCUCUCUCUCUCUCAUUCUUUCUCUCUUUCUCUCUCUCUCUUUCUCUCUCUCUCUCUUUCUUUCCUUCCUUCCAACUUCUUUUCAAGUAACAAUUUUUGUUCCUUGGAUCCAUCUGCACAUAGUGACCGGGAUGAUCUUUUAAAAGCUAAAACUUGCUGGGGUUUUUUUGAAAGAAUUCUUUGCACAGUUGUUUUAUUGUUUGACACUUAAUGCACUUGUCAUUUGCAUAAGACAGUAGCAUUCUGACCACCCUUGUACGCUGUAACCUCAUUUACUUCUGAUGUUUUUUUUUUUUUUAAGAUGAUGAUGACUUUUAAACAAGAGGAAAAAGAAACCACUAAUUAUUGUUUUAGUUUUCUUGAAAAAAAAAAGUGGCAACACUGUUUUGCGAUUUUAUUUGUGCAGGUAUGCGCACUAUUUUGAUAAAAGGGCAGUAACAAGUAUUGGGACCUAUUUAACCCCCCCUCCUUUUUUUUUCUUCACAAGGCAGUCUUUAAAGCUAUGUGAAAUUUUCUCUGCAUCUCUGUACAGAGAAUGAACCUACCCCUACCCCUAGUCUCUCCUUUCUCCCCCUCCCUUCCCCACCCAGUGGUACUUCUACUAAAUUGUUGUCUUGUUUUUUUAUUUUUUAAAUAAACUGACAAAUGACAAAGUGGUGAGCUUAUGA